AUGUCUGGGAAACUGCCUGAUGGAGGGGGAUAACUACUGGAAACGGUAGCUAAUACCGCAUAACGUCGCAGGACCAAAGAGGGGGACCUUCGGGCCUCUUGCCAUCGGAUGUGCCCAGAUGGGAUUAGCUAGUAGGUGGGGUAACGGCUCACCUANGCGACGAUCCCUAGCUGGUCUGAGAGGAUGACCAGCCACACUGGAACUGAGACACGGUCCAGACUCCUACGGGAGGCAGCAGUGGGGAAUAUUGCACAAUGGGCGCAAGCCUGAUGCAGCCAUGCCGCGUGUAUGAAGAAGGCCUUCGGGUUGUAAAGUACUUUCAGCGGGGAGGAAGGCGAUAAGGUUAAUAACCUUGUCGAUUGACGUUACCCGCAGAAGAAGCACCGGCUAACUCCGUGCCAGCAGCCGCGGUAAUACGGAGGGUGCAAGCGUUAAUCGGAAUUACUGGGCGUAAAGCGCACGCAGGCGGUCUGUCAAGUCGGAUGUGAAAUCCCCGGGCUCAACCUGGGAACUGCAUUCGAAACUGGCAGGCUAGAGUCUUGUAGAGGGGGGUAGAAUUCCAGGUGUAGCGGUGAAAUGCGUACAGAUCUGGAGGAAUACCGGUGGCGAAGGCGGCCCCCUGGACAAGACUGACGCUCA
rnacentral:rRNA from 1 species